rnacentral:rRNA from 1 species
CAGCAGCCGCGGUAAUACGGAGGGUGCAAGCGUUAAUCGGAAUUACUGGGCGUAAAGCGCACGCAGGCGGUUUGUUAAGUCAGAUGUGAAAUCCCCGAGCUUAACUUGGGAACUGCAUUUGAAACUGGCAAGCUAGAGUCUUGUAGAGGGGGGUAGAAUUCCAGGUGUAGCGGUGAAAUGCGUAGAGAUCUGGAGGAAUACCGGUGGCGAAGGCGGCCCCCUGGACGAAGACUGACGCUCAGGUACGAAAGCGUGGGGAGCAAACAGGAUUAGAUACCCGAGUAGUCCCUGUCUCUUAUAA